rnacentral:rRNA from 1 species
GAUGAAUGCUGGCGGCGUGCCUAACACAUGCAAGUCGAGCGGCAGCGCGGUCUUCGGACUGGCGGCGAGCGGCGGACGGCUGAGUAACGCGUGGGAACAUACCCCAAAGUGAGGAAUAACUGCCCGAGAGGGUGGCUAAUGCCGCAUAUGGUCUUCGGAUUAAAGGAUUUAUCCGCUUUGGGAAUGGCCUGCGUAAGAUUAGAUAGUUGGUGAGGUAAUGGCUCACCAAGUCGACGAUCUUUAACUGGUCUUAGAGGAUGAUCAGUCAGACUGGAACUGAGACACGGUCCAGACUCCUACGGGAGGCAGCAGUGAGGAAUCUUCCACAAUGGGCGAAAGCCUGAUGGAGCAACGCCGCGUGCAGGAUGAAGGCCUUCGGGUCGUAAACUGCUUUUAUAAGUGAAGAAUAUGACGGUAACUUAUGAAUAAGCACCGGCUAACUACGUGCCAGCCGCCGCCGUA